rnacentral:rRNA from 1 species
CCUACGGGGGGCUGCAGUAAGGAAUAUUGGUCAAUGGACGGAAGUCUGAACCAGCCAUCCCGCGUGCAGGAAGAAGGUCCUAUGGAUUGUAAACUGCUUUUAGCAGAGACGAAACGCCUUCAUUUAUGGGGGUUUGACGGUAUCUGCGGAAUAAGCACCGGCUAACUCCGUGCCAGCAGCCGCGGUAAUACGGAGGGUGCAGGCGUUAUCCGGAAUCACUGGGUUGAAAGGGUGCGUAGAAGUCGGAGUUGAAAGCCUGUAGCUUAACUGUAGAAUUGCCGUUGAUACUGUUGUUCUUGAGUUGGGUUGAGGUUAGCGGAAUGUGACAUGUAACGGUGAAAUGUUUAGAUAUGUCAUGGAACACCGAUUGCGAAGGCAGCUAGCUGGGCCUUGAUUGACGCUGAGGCACGAAAGCGUGGGUAGCGAACAGGAUUAGAUACCCCUGUAGUC